rnacentral:rRNA from 1 species
AUGUGCGCUAAAAAGCUCCAGCUUGUUGUUGACGCUGUUGGACUUGGUAAGCUUGAUGAAGCUGAGGUCCAUGAGAAAAAUAUUAUGCCAUCAUCCUAUACCGGUGGGCGUCGCUGCAUAACUGAAAACUUCCACGCCGCAAUGACUAUUUCCCAUGUCCAAGCCUCGCCUGAUAUAAUCACAGCCUUCACAACCUUCACGUGUAAUCCAAAGCGGCCUGAGAUGAUGGAGAGUCUUGAACCUGGGCAAAAAAUAGUCGAUAGGGCUGAUAUUACCAUUCGAGUAUAUCACAUGAAACUUCUUGCAUACCUAUAUACAGAAGAUCAGGAUCGGAAAGAUGUUUGGGACUGUAGUUCCUGGUACCAUGCCCAGUGCAUUUUCUCCUUUCUUCAUUUUUCUUACCCAUAUUUCUUAUUUUUCAUGUUUUUCAUUUACCCUCCUGUUUUCCAGUUCCACACACACGUGUCCUUGUUUGGCAGGAGAAGGAUGAUGACCGGGUGGUCACACCAACUUUCAUAA